rnacentral:tRNA from 1 species
CAAGAAGUAGUUUAAUUAGAACAUCAGCUUUGGGUGCUGAUAGUAGGGAGAUAUAUUCCUUCUUCUUGA